rnacentral:rRNA from 1 species
UGGGGAAUAUUGCACAAUGGGGGAAACCCUGAUGCAGCGACGCCGCGUGAACGAAGAAGGUAUUCGUAUCGUAAAGUUCUGUCCUAUGGGAAGAUAAUGACAGUACCAUAGAAGAAAGCUCCGGCUAAAUACGUGCCAGCAGCCGCGGUAAUACGUAUGGAGCGAGCGUUGUCCGGAAUUAUUGGGCGUAAAGGGUACGCAGGCGGUUUAAUAAGUCGAACGUUAAAGAUCGGGGCUCAACCCCGCAAAGCAUUGGAAACUGAUAAACUUGAGUAGUGGAGAGGAAAGUGGAAUUCCUAGUGUAGUGGUGAAAUACGUAGAUAUUAGGAGGAAUACCAGUAGCGAAGGCGACUUUCUGGACACAAACUGACGCUGAGGUACGAAAGCGUGGGGAGCAAACAGG